UCUACUAGUAUAUCAGAUCAGACCCAUCUUCUCUUCUACUCAAAUUCUCACUUCCAUUUUUUUUUAAAAAAAAACUUCUCCUAAUAUUUCUCUUUUGGCAGAAAAGAACAGCGAGUGAGAGAGACAGAGAGAUGAAUGACCCAAAAUAUGCCUAUCCCUACCCUGCUCAAGGUUACUACCAAGGGCCUCCAGUAAUGGCACCACCACAAUAUGCUCCUCCACCACCGCCCAGGAGAGAACCCGGUUUCCUUGAAGGAAUUCUUGCAGCAUUAUGUUGCUGUUGCCUCAUUGAUGAGUGUUGCUGUGAUCCUUCCAUCAUCUUCAUCGGCUGAUUUCAUCCUUGUGUUGUGGCCCUCCUUCCUUGCAUCUGUGAUCCUAAUAAUAUAUUUAGUAUUUGCUUUAUCUUCCAUUACAUGUGUGAUUGUAAGAUUAAAGUGUUUCAGGUUAUGUGGGUCUCAAACUCCUUUAUCUAACUAUGAUCUUUCAGCUACUUGUCUCAGUAUUUCCGGAGUAUAAAUAUGUAGUAUUUCAUAGCAUUGUAAUUGGCGGUGAAAGUGGAUAAUGGAGUAUUGUAUUAAGUGAUUGGAAAACAUAAAGAGUAUAUUAAAUGAUAAUUGGUUAAGGACUACAAGCACGUGGUACUCCGAAAACAUUGUAUAA